rnacentral:lncRNA from 10 species
CACAUCGAAUUAACUCUUUCAUGACCAUCACUUUGCCCGUGGCUUUGUGUGUCACCUACAGGGAGGGUGACUGUUAAUGGUGCUGAGACCAGAGGAAGUUCUGGAGAACUGUUUGAGAAAAUCUAUGCAGCUGGCCAUCCCAUCCCUUGGAGGGCACACUGAGCCGGGUCAGAAUGACAGAGUUCAUGUGUGGAAGAUGCAGCGUGGAGCAACAUGGGACUCACACGGAAGCAAACCCUCUUUCCUGGAGAGCUGGGCAUGCACAGAGGACAGGUACUCUUCCAAGCCCUGGGCAUGCAGCACUGAAUA